CUCAAGUAGUUGGAUUUAUUUCAACCACAAAUCUACUUGUAGAAUUCCACCUUUUUGUGUCCCUCUUCUACCCCCGAUAGGUUCUAGGCCUGCUAUCCCGCUUGGGACUCACUUUUUCUUCUUCUGCUUUAAUUAUCUCUUCUUGGACAUAAUAUAUCCCUCUUCAUUUUGAACCUGUAGUUUAUAAUUUUUUAUAGUAUUUUUGAAGAAAGUCAUAUUGAAUUUUGAUUUUUUCAGUCCUCAACCCCUUCUCACAGCUCCCAACAACCUCUAGCUCCACAUACUCCGACACCUCACUUGCCAAAUCAACUUAAAUUUUCACCCAGGAUCGAACUCUCAACCUCUGGUUAAAAGUGGAACAGCCACAUCCACUGCAUCACAACCCAUGUUGGUUUCUCUAGGUAUUCUUCAUUCAUCCAAAAUAUGCUUUUAACUUUUUAUUGUCUUAUGUUUUCAGUUGAUAUAUUUUGAUUGAAUUUUAUAAUUUUUGGUUUCAAAUUUCACUACACCAUUCUAUAAUUUUAUGUCUUAUCCUUUAGUCUCCGUUUAAGAAAUCAUUUUUAAAAUUCAGGAAUGAGUUUCUUGGUCUCAAGAUUUUUUUUUUUCAAUUCUAAAUUAGUAUUCUUUUUUUAAUAUCUUUGUUGCAGUGCAUUAGUUUCAUCUGGGUUUGACCUUUUUGUUCUCUAAUUUUGAUAUAUUAUACCAUAUUUAUUAUUCAUUCUUUUGGCUUCUUCAAAAUGUACCUAUUUGUGAUUUAUUUUCUUGUUCACUUUUGCAUUUGGGUGAGUACCCAAUGGAGUUAUUUUUAUUUGUUACUUUUAAUUGCUCAUCAAUUUAGGAUAGUUCAAAUUACGUGCAUUCAAGGUGGUUGAAUGAUAUUUGGAAUAUUAAUUUCAUUUUUUUAAUCCAUAUACAAUAUUAGAAGUUGGGAGAAGUAGGGGUUCACUGUUUAUUUAUUGCACCUUGUGAAAGUUCGUCUUUACUUUUUUUGAAUGAUAUUGUUUGACCAUUUGUACAGGGAACAUGCUUAGUUCAUCAAAAAAAUAUCUUCUUAAUUAGUCUAUCUUGACAAUACUAUACAAAGAAAAUCCAAAACGAAUUUUUCAGCUAAACAAACUUCAUUAUGAUAUGUUGUAAUUUCUUGGAUCGACAUUCCUCAUGAAAGACCCACUUUUCAUGGUCAUUUCUUGAUACUACAUCUUCACUUGAAGAUUCUUCAUUUUCAUUUGUCAAAAAAUAUUAUUAAAUUAACCUCUAAAAAACUCUGUGAUUGCUAGCAAGAACACCAUACCAGUAUCAAGCAUUCUACUUUUUCUCACUCCAAUUGUUACUCUUUUUAUUUUUUAUUUUGGGGUUUAGUGAUAUGAACCCCAUAUUUUUUUACCUCUUAUUGUCUUAAGCUUUAAGAUGGCAUUUUCAAUAAUUAACCCCAUUUGGUGGUAAAGGUAUAGCUUCGUUGGUUUCCGUUGUAGUAAGGGUGUUGUUUAUGCAAAUGCUCUAAUAUUGCUUUGCAGGAAAGUUGUUGUCUGCUCCUCCUAUCUAUAUAGUGUAAAUUUUUUAUUUUUGUUACAUCUAUAAGUUGUAGCCCAUAGGGCUAUGCAGAUUUUGAUUUAACCCGUUAAUCCGAAUCGAUAAUUUGUUUAUCGGGUUAACAGGUCAAUUUUUUAAUUAUUGGGUUGAGUGUCGGGUUUAAAAUUUCUAUUACUGAUUUGUCGAUUCGGGCCUCAAUUUACUUAACUUUUUUAUCAGGUUACCGAAUAACCCGAUAAAUAACACAUAGGUCUCAGCCCCAUUAUAUUCUCAAUACCCAUUACCCACUGGCCCAAAAGGCAAAAGCGAUUCAUUCCCAUUUCCCAAGCCUAAUUGUGCAGUUAGAGUUAGAGACUUAGGGUUUAAUAGUUUAUUCAUGAUUUCACAUUUGUCUUAGCACCUCUCAGUCUCUCACUCUCAGUAUUCACUAACAUAGACCAAAACUCAGUAUUCAAGCUCAAUUUUUGUUGAAAACUCUAGAGACCAAUGAUGAUUUACUACUCAGCUGUUGUUGUUGUGCUCAACAGGUAACAAGUUUUGUUCCAUCUCAUUCUUAGAUAGUCUUCUUCUUCAUCUUCAAUUUCUGUCCAAUCUUCGAUGUAUUAUGCUAAAGACCAUCUCAUUUGUAUCUUUGCAUGUCUUUCGAUCUUGUCAUCUGUGUAACUUGAAUAGCUGAUUUUAAUAAAUGGAUAGUAAUUUUGAAGAAUUCAGGUGUUAUUUGCUUAUAUAGUUACAUUACUAGUUGAUUAAGCUAAUUUAUUGUGAAAUUGCAGUUCAGUUAAAAGAUUGAUCUAGUUGUGCUUGCAAAGUUUAGUUUUCUGACUUUACAAAUGAAUAAGUAAUGUUUUUUGUCAUGCUUGUACUCCUUGUUGUGAGUGAUAAACAACUUACUGGUGUUAAACAAUGUUUCAAUUUCUUAUUUUUAUAUUUUGAGAGUGAUGACAAUGUUGUUCUGCGAUUGGCUAUUUGGGGCUAUUUUGUUCAAACAUUGGUUACUGCCUUACUAGUGUUGGAGUUGGACCAUAGCCAAACCUUCCAACCAACUUUUUAUGAGUUAAUUUGGCUGAUCUAGUAAACAACAAUGUCUUGAGUCUUGACCAGUCUUAGACUCUUCGCAAUGUAAUGCUAAAAAAAGGGACAUCUGAUUUUAAAAGUCCUGAUAUAUAUGUUGAGAUUACUUAGCAAUAUGUGUCGAAAUCAUAUUUUAUCUGAUAAUCGACAAUAUUAUAUAUGGUUGGAUGAAUACAUUGUGUUGUCUUAAGUUACUGAAUUAAUGUGAAGUCAGUAAGUCACUGAUUAAUGCUUGCAUGCUGAUAUUCUAUGGUGUGGUCUAUUAUGCUCUAUGUAUAUUGUCAAGUUUUGGUCAUGUUAUGUUGAAAUUUUUUUGUUGGUUUGUUGUUUGAUUAUUUUUCUUUUACCAUUACAGUCACAUUGAUAUAACUAAAUGAUACAAAAUACUAGAGUUGAUAAAGUGAUUGGUAAGAGUAUAACUUCUGAUUCGAAUAUAGUGAAUCAAAGUCCGACAGUUGAGUCUAAAUCAAAGAAUAAGGAGAAAAAGAUUUGUUGUGUGGGAUCAUUUUACUUGUAAAGUUUAUUCGGAAAGAAUUAAAAAGGGUAUGUGUAAUUAUUGAAAACAAGAGUAUUUAGCUUAUACAAAAGAACAUGGUACAAUGACAAUGCUUGGUCAUAUAAAAGAUGCAAAAAAUUACUUCAUAAUGUUGAUACUAGGCAAUCAAAGAUAACAUUUCAACAGGUUACAUGGGGUAACAAGGGUGAUGUAUCAAUCCUUUUAUGGAAAUUUGAUCAAGAAUAGGGUAGAAAAUCUUUAUGUCGUAUGAUAAUUCUUGAUGAGCUUCCUUUUAGAUUUGUUGAAAAAGAAGGCUUUAAAUAAUUUAUGAAAGUGGUACAACCUUUGUUUCGAAUUCCUUAUCUUACAACUGUUACUCAUGAUUGUUUUGAUCUCUUUGAUAAAAGAAGAAUAAAAUGAGGAGAAUUUUUAAGGAAACUCAACAAAAAAUAUGUAUAACGAUUGAUACUUAAACUUUUGUGCAAAGAAUCAAUUAUAUGUGUAUUACUGCUCAUUAGAAUGAUAAAAAUUGGACUUUGCAUAAAAGAAUUAUCAAUUUUUGUCCAAUUUCUAGCCAUAGGGGUAAAGAUAUUAAGUGUUUGUAUGAGUGGGGAUUGCAUUGAAUUUUCACGAUUAUUGUUGAUAAUGCUAGUUCAAAUAGUGUGUGUGUGGUUGAGAUGUCUAAGAAAUUGACUAAGUAGGGAACCAAUCUUAUGGGUGGUAAGCAUCUUCAUGUUAGUGUAUGGAGCAUAUCAUAAACCUUGUCAUUCAGGAUGACAUGAAAGAAGCAACUGUUUCUAUUGAAUGAAUCAGGCAAGCAGUGAGAUACAUUAGGCAAUCUCCUGCUUGAUGGAAGAACUUUCAAGAAUGUUGUGAAGAUGAAAAUCUUGCAAAGAAGUCUUUAUGCUUAGAUGUUCCCACAAGGUAGAAUUUCACCUACUUGAUGUUGAACAGGGCUAUUGAAUAUGAGGGUACAAUUUUAAAUUUUGCUAAUCGUGAUAUUGGUUUGGUACAUCAUCUCGAGUUUGGUCAUAUUCAUAUGUGUGAUGGUGAUAGUGAUACUAUGGGUGAACAACCUGCAGGUACACUUUUGAGUGGUGAUUGGUAUAGUGUAAAAAGAAUUGUAAAAUUUCUUAAAUUAUUUUUUAAGCUUACUUUGAAGGUAUCUGGAUCAUUGUAUAUUAAAUCAAAUAUUCAUUUUCUUGAAAUUUGUCAAGUUGAUUUUUA